rnacentral:rRNA from 1 species
GAUGAACGCUGGCGGCGUGCCUAAUACAUGCAAGUCGAGCGAACGGACGAGAAGCUUGCUUCUCUGAUGUUAGCGGCGGACGGGUGAGUAACACGUGGAUAACCUACCUAUAAGACUGGGAUAACUUCGGGAAACCGGAGCUAAUACCGGAUAAUAUUUUGAACCGCAUGGUUCAAAAGUGAAAGACGGUCUUGCUGUCACUUAUAGAUGGAUCCGCGCUGCAUUAGCUAGUUGGUAAGGUAACGGCUUACCAAGGCAACGAUGCAUAGCCGACCUGAGAGAGUGAUCGGCCACACUGGAACUGAGACACGGUCCAGAAUCCGACGGGAGGCAGCAGUAGGGAAUCUUCCGCAAUGGGAGAAAGCCUGACGGAGCAACGCCGCGUGAGUGAUGAAGGUCUUCGGAUCGUAAAACUCUGUCAUUAGGGAAGAACAUAUGUGUAAGUAACUGUGCACAUCUUGACGGUACCUAAGCAGAAAGCCACGGCUAACUACGU